GAUCAUUACCAAAGCAAAGCAACUCUGGCUGUCUCAGCCUUGGAGCUUUCAACCACUUGUGAAUCAAACCUUUCUUUCGCUUCGGCAGCAAUGGUAUUCUUUAUCAUGUCAGCCUGCCGUUAGCACCAUUAAAACCUGCUGCAAUUUAUGUCUGAAUUAAAGAAUUUGAAUUAAAUCAAAACUUUCAACAACGGAUCUCUUGGUUCCCGCAUCGAUGAAGAACGCAGCGAAACGCGAUAGUUAAUGUGAAUUGCAGAAUUCAGUGAAUCAUCGAGUCUUUGAACGCAUAUUGCGCCCAUUGGUAUUCCAUUGGGCAUGUCUGUUUGAGCGUCAUUACAAACCCUCGACUUUUGUCGGUUUUGAGCUGGCUUUAUGGGUGUAAACUCAAGCUGGUUUUAAAAUGGUAAGCUUUGCUGACCACUGCUCCCAACCAAAAACAUAGUAAAUUAUGCUUGUUGAUGGUGGGACAGGUUCCAGCCUGGAAAAUGGAAACUCAUGGUUUGACCUCAGAUCAGACAAGGAUACCCGCUGAACUUAAGCAUAUCAAUAAGCGA
rnacentral:rRNA from 1 species